rnacentral:rRNA from 1 species
CCCAAUCCGCCGUUUCUUAUUAUUGCAAGUCGAGCGGACAGAUGGGAGCUUGCUCCCUGAUGUUAGCGGCGGACGGGUGAGUAACACGUGGGUAACCUGCCUGUAAGACUGGGAUAACUCCGGGAAACCGGGGCUAAUACCGGAUGCUUGUUUGAACCGCAUGGUUCAAACAUAAAAGGUGGCUUCGGCUACCACUUACAGAUGGACCCGCGGCGCAUUAGCUAGUUGGUGAGGUAACGGCUCACCAAGGCAACGAUGCGUAGCCGACCUGAGAGGGUGAUCGGCCACACUGGGACUGAGACACGGCCCAGACUCCUACGGGAGGCAGCAGUAGGGAAUCUUCCGCAAUGGACGAAAGUCUGACGGAGCAACGCCGCGUGAGUGAUGAAGGUUUUCGGAUCGUAAAGCUCUGUUGUUAGGGAAGAACAAGUACCGUUCGAAUAGGGCGGUACCUUGACGGUACCUAACCAGAAAGCCACGGCUAACUACGUGCCAGCAGCCGCGGUAAUACGUAGGUGGCAAGCGUUGUCCGGAAUUAUUGGGCGUAAAGGGCUCGCAGGCGGUUUCUUAAGUCUGAUGUGAAAGCCCCCGGCUCAACCGGGGAGGGUCAUUGGAAACUGGGGGAACUUGAGUGCAGAAGAGGAGAGUGGAAUUCCACGUGUAGCGGUGAAAUGCGUAGAGAUGUGGAGGAACACCAGUGGCGAAGGCGACUCUCUGGUCUGUAACUGACGCUGAGGAGCGAAAGCGUGGGGAGCGAACAGGAUUAGAUACCCUGGUAGUCCACGCCGUAAACGAUGAGUGCUAAGUGUUAGGGGGUUUCCGCCCCUUAGUGCUGCAGCUAACGCAUUAAGCACUCCGCCUGGGGAGUACGGUCGCAAGACUGAAACUCAAAGGAAUUGACGGGGGGCCCGCACAAGCGGGUGGAGCAUGUGGUUUAAUUUCGAAGCAAACGUCGAAGAAUCUUUACUCAAGGUCUUGACAUCCUCUUGAACAAAUCCUAGAAAGAAUAGGACCGUUCCCCUUUCGGGGGCAGAGUGACCAGGUGGUGCAUUGCUUGUCGUUCAGCUCGUGUUCGUGAGAUGUUGGGUAAAGUCCCGCAACCGAAGCCGCAACUCAUUGAAUCCUAGAUGCAAGCAAUCAAGUUCGCACUCCUAGUUGACUGUCUGCUGACAAACCGGCAGGAAAGAU